UAACGAUACGGGACUCAUCCGAGGCCCCGUAAUCGGAAUGAGUACACUUUAAAUCCUUUAACGAGGACCCAUUGGAGGGCAAGUCUGGUGCCAGCAGCCGCGGUAAUUCCAGCUCCAAUAGCGUAUAUUAAAGUUGUUGCGGUUAAAAAGCUCGUAGUUGAAUCUGUGUGCCACGCUGUCGGUUCAUCGCUCGCGAUGUUUAACUGGCAUGAUUGUGGGACGUCCUACCGGUGGGCUUAGCUCCGGCAACGGGGCGGUCCAGCUAAUAUCCCAUCGCGGUGCUCUUCAUCGAGUGUCGAGGUGGGCCGGUACGUUUACUUUGAACAAAUUAGAGUGCUCAAAGCAGGCUAUGUUCGCCUGAAUACUUCGUGCAUGGAAUAAUGGAAUAGGACCUCGGUUCUAUUUUGUUGGUUUUCGGAACUCCGAGGUAAUGAUUAAUAGGGACAGAUGGGGGCAUUCGUAUUGCGACGUUAGAGGUGAAAUUCUUGGAUCGUCGCAAGACGGACAGAAGCGAAAGCAUUUGCCAAAAAUGUUUUCAUUAAUCAAGAACGAAAGUUAGAGGUUCGAAGGCGAUCAGAUACCGCCCUAGUUCUAACCAUAAACGAUGCCAGCUAGCGAUCCGCCGAAGUUCCUCCGAUGACUCGGCGGGCAGCUUCCGGGAAACCAAAGCUUUUGGGUUCCGGGGGAAGUAUGGUUGCAAAGCUGAAACUUAAAGGAAUUGACGGAAGGGCACCACCAGGAGUGGAGCCUGCGGCUUAAUUUGACUCAACAC
rnacentral:rRNA from 1 species